rnacentral:rRNA from 1 species
CCUACGGGUGGCAGCAGUGAGGAAUAUUGGUCAAUGGGCGAGAGCCUGAACCAGCCAAGUCGCGUGAGGGAGUACUGCCCUAUGGGUUGUAAACCUCUUUUGUCGGGGAGCAAAAGCCGGACGUGUCCGGCUGUGAGAGUACCCGAAGGAAAAGCAUCGGCUAACUCCGUGCCAGCAGCCGCGGUAAUACGGAGGAUGCGAGCGUUAUCCGGGUUUAUUGGGUUUAAAGGGUGCGCAGGCGGAUUUUUAAGUCAGCGGUAAAAUCGUGGGGCUCAACCCCAUCCAGCCGUUGAAACUGGGGAUCUAGAGUGUGCGAGAGGUAUGCGGAAUGCGUGGUGUAGCGGUGAAAUGCAUAGAUAUCACGCAGAACCCCGAUUGCGAAGGCAGCAUACCGGUGCACAACUGACGCUCAGGUACGAAAGCGUGGGUAUCGAACAGGAUUAGAUACCCUGGUAGUC